rnacentral:rRNA from 1 species
UAGAAACGUCGCGACCCGUUGGGUGCCGGCCAAAGGCCUGGGAAGGAAGCCCGCGCGUCCUGUGGUGGUUGCCACAGGCGAGCGGACUCCCGGUGACCCGGCCGGCUGCCCGACGGUAUGACCAGAGGAGCCGAUCCGCUGAAUGGGAAACACUGUGGUUUGUGAAGCGUG